rnacentral:rRNA from 1 species
UCCCAGUUCGGACUGUAGUCUGCAACCCGACUACACGAAGCUGGAAUCGCUAGUAAUCGCGGAUCAGAAUGCCGCGGUGAAUACGUUCCCGGGUCUUGUACACACCGCCCGUCACACCAUGGGAGUCAGUAACGCCCGAAGUCAGUGACCUAACCGAAAGGGAGGAGCUGCCGAAGGCGGGACGGAUGACUGGGGUGAAGUCGUAACAAGGUAAC